rnacentral:rRNA from 1 species
GAUGAACGCUGGCGGCGUGCCUAAUACAUGCAAGUCGAGCGAACAGACGAGUAGCUUGCUCCUCUGACGUUAGCGGCGGACGGGUGAGUAACACGUGGAUAACCUACCUAUAAUACUUGGAUAACUUCGUGAAACCGUAUCUAAUACCGUAUAAUCUUUUUAACCGCAUUGUUCCACAGUGAAAGACGGUCUUUCUGUCACUUAUAGAUGGAUCAGCGCUGCAUUAGCUAGUUGGUAAGGUAAAGGCUUACCAAGGCAACGAUGCGUAGCCGACCUGAGAGGGUGAUCGGCCACACGGGAACUGAGACACGGGCAAGAAGACUACGGGAGGCAGCAGUAGGGAAUAUUCCGCAAUGGGCGAAAGAAUGACGGAGCAAAGCCGCGUGAGUGAAGAAGGUCUUCGGAUCGUAAAACUCUGUUAUUAGGGAAGAACAAAUGUGUAAGUAAAUAUGCACGUAAUGACGGUACCUAAUCAGAAAGCAACGGCUAACUACGUG